rnacentral:rRNA from 1 species
GUGAGGAAUAUUGGUCAAUGGGCGAGAGCCUGAACCAGCCAAGUCGCGUGAAGGAAGAAGGAUCUAUGGUUCGUAAACUUCUUUUGCAGGGGAAUAAAGUGCGGGACGUGUCCUGUUUUGUAUGUACCCUGAGAAUAAGGAUCGGCUAACUCCGUGCCAGCAGCCGCGGUAAUACGGAGGAUCCGAGCGUUAUCCGGAUUUAUUGGGUUUAAAGGGUGCGUAGGUGGUUUGAUAAGUCAGCGGUGAAAGUUUGCAGCUUAACUGUAAAAAUGCCGUUGAAACUGUCGGACUGGAGUGUAAAUGAGGUAGGCGGAAUGCGUGGUGUAGCGGUGAAAUGCAUAGAUAUCACGCAGAACUCCGAUUGCGAAGGCAGCUUACUAAGCUACAACUGACACUGAAGCACGAAAGCGUGGGGAUCAAACAGGAUUAGAUACCCCAGUAGUCC